CCUACGGGAGGCAGCAGUGGGGAAUCUUGCGCAAUGGGCGAAAGCCUGACGCAGCAACGCCGCGUGCGGGAAGAAGGCUCUCGGGUUGUAAACCGCUUUCAGCAGGAACGAAAAUGACGGUACUUGCAGAAGAAGGUGCGGCCAACUACGUGCCAGCAGCCGCGGUGACACGUAGGCACCAAGCGUUGUCCGGAUUUAUUGGGCGUAAAGAGCUCGUAGGCGGUUCGGUAAGUCAGGUGUGAAAACUUUGGGCUCAACCCAAAGCCUGCAUCUGAUACUGCUGUGACUAGAGUUCGGUAGGGGAGCGGGGAAUUCCUAGUGUAGCGGUGAAAUGCGCAGAUAUUAGGAGGAACACCGGUGGCGAAGGCGCCGCUCUGGGCCGAAACUGACGCUGAGGAGCGAAAGCGUGGGUAGCAAACAGGAUUAGAUACCCUGGUAGUCCACGCCGUAAACGUUGGGCACUAGGUGUGGGUCUCAACCAACGAGAUCCGCGCCGUCGCUAACGCAUUAAGUGCCCCGCCUGGGGAGUACGGCCGCAAGGUUAAAACUCAAAUGAAUUGACGGCUGAGACGNGCCGACGACGACGACGAGGAGAG
rnacentral:rRNA from 1 species